GGUGCCCCGGGAAAACUUGGGGGAGAAUGGGCAUCCCACCCCAGCACUUUCUAGGAAGAAGGGCAGCAUUUUGAAGGGCUGGAAGUAGAGGAAGGAGGUUGCGGGUAGAAGACUCCAUACUUUCUGUGACGCCUAUUCCUUAGGAGAGCCUUUAUAUAACCAAAGAUAUUUUUGGACCAUGAAUUCAGAAAUUCUCGGAGCCACCCAUCAGUGCCUGAGCUUCAGUGAGUCCAUAUCCCAUGUCACCCACGGCAAAGGAGACUCUAAGACUUCUGAAGAGUUUCUUGCUUCUUUCCUGUGGGGCAGUGACUCCACUUCCCAGCAGUAAUGGAAUAUCCUGAAUUAGCUACAUUAAUGUUAGAACCAUUUGGACCUCACCCAGGACUUCAACUACAUUAUGAGUAACUCCUGGACGAUUGGCACAGAAGAAGGCACAAGGCAAAUACCCAUCUCUGUACACCCUGUGCUACUGUGUCAUGUGCUGCUCCAGGCAACUCCAAUGGAUUGGCCACCCUGGCCAAUGUGUUCUAGUAUGUUACGUUUAUGUUCCCCUGCUUUCUACAAUCCUGUUCAAAGAGUUGCUGACUUAACCACAGAGAGGAUUCCAGAACCUGAGACACAGAAUAAACUUGAGCAAUCAUAGUCCAUCCACUUCAUUGUCUCAUCAAAAACCAAAGGUCCAGUGAAGCUCUGGAACUCAACGCUGUAAAGGAGCGAAGGAGCUUCUAUACAGAGCCUGGAUGCCUGUCUCCUUAUCCUAC
rnacentral:lncRNA from 1 species